CCGGCGAGGGGAGUGAAAAAGAACCUGAAACCGUGUACGUACAAGCAGUGGGAGCACCCUUUUGGGUGUGACUGCGUACCUUUUGUAUAAUGGGUCAGCGACUUAUAUUCUGUAGCAAGGUUAACCGAAUAGGGGAGCCGGAGGGAAACCGAGUCUUAAUUGGGCGUUAAGUUGCAGGGUAUAGACCCGAAACCCGGUGAUCUAGCCAUGGGCAGGUUGAAGGUUGGGUAACACUAACUGGAGGACCGAACCGACUAAUGUUGAAAAAUUAGCGGAUGACCUGUGGCU
rnacentral:rRNA from 1 species